AAAAACUGGACUAUUGCCUGUGGCUUCUCAUUUAUUAAGGCAAAGAUGAAAGAAGCAUCAGAUGCAAAAUUUCAAGUGCAGAUUUUUCUUCCUUAGGAAUUCUUUGUUGAAAUGGACCUGUCCCUAAGUUAAUGAUGACUCUCUACACCUUUGUAUGGAAAGAUCUCCAACAUUACCAGAUCCAACUAAAACUUCACCAAUUUGCAAAUUAUCCAUCAGCCAUUGUCUGAAUCUAUGCAAAGCUUUGGAUGUCUAAGUGAACAUGUGUGGCCUCAGG